ACGAUAUGCUUUGGGGAGCUGUAAGUAAGCUUUGAUCCAGAGAUUUCCGAAUGGGGAAACCCAGCAUGAGUUAUGUCAUGUUAUCGAUAUGUGAAUACAUAGCAUAUCAGAAGGCACACCCGGAGAACUGAAACAUCUUAGUACCCGGAGGAAGAGAAAGAAAAUUCGAUUCCCUUAGUAGCGGCGAGCGAAACGGGAAGAGCCCAAACCAACAAGCUUGCUUGUUGGGGUUGUAGGACACUCUAUACGGAGUUACAAAGGACGACAUUAGACGAAUCAUCUGGAAAGAUGAAUCAAAGAAGGUAAUAAUCCUGUAGUCGAAAAUGUUGUCUCUCUUGAGUGGAUCCUGAGUACGACGGAGCACGUGAAAUUCCGUCGGAAUCUGGGAGGACCAUCUCCUAAGGCUAAAUACUCUCUAGUGACCGAUAGUGAACCAGUACCGUGAGGGAAAGGUGAAAAGCACCCCGGAAGGGGAGUGAAAUAGAACCUGAAACCGUGUGCUUACAAGUAGUCAGAGCCCGUUAAUGGGUGAUGGCGUGCCUUUUGUAGAAUGAACCGGCGAGUUACGAUUUGAUGCAAGGUUAAGCAGUAAAUGUGGAGCCGUAGCGAAAGCGAGUCUGAAUAGGGCGUUUAGUAUUUGGUCGUAGACCCGAAACCAGGUGAUCUACCCUUGGUCAGGUUGAAGUUCAGGUAACACUGAAUGGAGGACCGAACCGACUUACGUUGAAAAGUGAGCGGAUGAACUGAGGGUAGCGGAGAAAUUCCAAUCGAACCUGGAGAUAGCUGGUUCUCUCCGAAAUAGCUUUAGGGCUAGCCUCAAGUGAUGAUUAUUGGAGGUAGAGCACUGUUUGGACGAGGGGCCCCUCUCGGGUUACCGAAUUCAGACAAACUCCGAAUGCCAAUUAAUUUAACUUGGGAGUCAGAACAUGGGUGAUAAGGUCCAUGUUCGAAAGGGAAACAGCCCAGACCACCAGCUAAGGUCCCAAAAUAUAUGUUAAGUGGAAAAGGAUGUGGCGUUGC
rnacentral:rRNA from 1 species